CCAUGCUGAAGCCUUUCUUGUGUUCGUUUGCCAAAACACGCAGUAGAGCCAGGAGCCAAGGCAUUCCUCUGCUCCCUGUUCACAGGCAAGAGAUGGAAUCAUUUCUUUUGGACACGCUGUUGAACUGCAUUAUCAACCAGACCGACUGAGAGCGUAAGGCCGGAUGCAGCAGGCUCCUUGGAGUUACAGCACAUGCCAGGCCCGGGAGCACAGUGGGAACGAUAUCCAGACUGUUGUAUGUGCAGCAGCAGAACCAGGGAGCUUCUCCACAAAUUGACUGAGCGGGACACAGCAGUCUGGAGAUGGAGCUGGCUGCCGGAAGCUGCCUGGCUCACUUCUGGAGUUAACUGGAGCCCUGAUCAGUACAGGAGAUGCAGGGGUCUGCUACAACUUCUUCAUGCAAAGCCUCACAAAGUGUCCUCCCACCUAACUGGGAUGAGAGAAGGAAAAGGGCAGCAGGUAGGAGACAAAGCAGUUAAAGCAAAGAGAGUGAAACAAUCCAAAUGCCCAUUGGCAGUGUAGGAUUCCUGGUUAAAGGAAUCUAGACAAACUGUUAAGAAAGAGCGGGAUCUAUAGGGAUUAAUAAGUGACAAUCUUUUGAUUAUUUUUUGAUUUAUAACAAAUUCUGUUUUGAACAUUCUUUAAAAGUAGAGACUAAUGUAUAUAAUAGCUACUGGUUUGUUUCUUUUUAUUUUUUUUUUUUAAGAUUUUAUUGGGGAAGGGGAACAGGACUUUAUUGGGGAACAGUGUGUGCUUCCAGGCAUUUUUUUCCAAGUCAAGUUGUUGUCCUUUCAAUCUUAGUUGUGGAGUGUGCCAUUCAGCUUCAAGUUGUUGUCCUUUCAGUCUUAGUUGUGGAGGGCACAGCUCAGCUCCAGGUCCAGUUGCCCUUGCUAGUUGCAGGGGGCACAGCCCACCAUCCCUUGUGGGAGUCGAACCGGCAACCUUGUGGUUGAGAGGAUGUUCUCCAACCAACUGAGCCAUCUGGGAGGCAGCUCUGCUCAAGGUGCCGUGUUCAAUCUUAGUUGCAGGGGGCGGAGCCCACCAUCCCUUGCGGGACUCGAGGAAUUGAACUGGCAACCUUGUGGUUGAGAGCCCACUGGCCCGUGUGGGAAUAGAACCGGCAGCCUUCGGAGUUAGGAGCAUGGAGCUCUAACCGCCUGAGCCACUGGGCCGGCCUUGGUUUGUUUCUUUUUAACUGGGAGUUAUCUGUAUCUAUAGCUUUCUCUCCGUUGUGUGUGUAUCUAUAUAAAUACCUAUAUCUAUACAUGAAUAUACUUUCAGUUUCUCGAUCGUUAACUAAUAAACUGGUAACAGUGAUGGUUUCUAGAAACAAAAAGUAUGAGCCUGCAGAUCAGAGGUCAAAAGACC
rnacentral:lncRNA from 1 species